rnacentral:rRNA from 1 species
AACGCUGGCGGCGUGCCUAAUACAUGCAAGUCGAGCGAGCUGAACCAACAGAUUCACUUCGGUGAUGACGCUGGGAACGCGAGCGGCGGAUGGGUGAGUAACACGUGGGGAACCUGCCCCAUAGUCUGGGAUACCACUUGGAAACAGGUGCUAAUACCGGAUAAGAAAGCAGAUCGCAUGAUCAGCUUAUAAAAGGCGGCGUAAGCUGUCGCUAUGGGAUGGCCCCGCGGUGCAUUAGCUAGUUGGUAAGGUAACGGCCUACCAAGGCAAUGAUGCAUAGCCGAGUUGAGAGACUGAUCGGCCACAUUGGGACUGAGACACGGCCCAAACUCCUACGGGAGGCAGCAGUAGGGAAUCUUCCACAAUGGACGAAAGUCUGAUGGAGCAACGCCGCGUGAGUGAAGAAGGUUUUCGGAUCGUAAAGCUCUGUUGUUGGUGAAGAAGGAUAGAGGUAGUAACUGGCCUUUAUUUGACGGUAAUCAACCAGAAAGUCACGGCUAACUA